CAAAUCCUAAUGGCGCCAAGAGACAGCAGAGCACUGACCGACUGAAGCCGGGACCUGCCUGACAGACUGCCGUAACUCUGAAGAAAAGUAACGAAUAUUGCACAUUGAAAUGAC